rnacentral:rRNA from 1 species
AUUGAACGCUGGCGGCAGGCCUAACACGUGCAAGUCGAGCGGAUGAUGGGAGCUUGCUCCUUGAUUCAGCGGCGGACGGGUGAGUAAUGCCUAGGAAUCUGCCUGGUAGUGGGGGACAACGUUUCGAAAGGAACGCUAAUACCGCAUACGUCCUACGGGAGAAAGCAGGGGACCUUCGGGCCUUGCGCUAUCAGAUGAGCCUAGGUCGGAUUAGCUUGUUGGUGAGGUAAUGGCUCACCAAGGCGACGAUCCGUAACUGGUCUGAGAGGAUGAUCAGUCACACUGGAACUGAGACACGGUCCAGACUCCUACGGGAGGCAGCAGUGGGGAAUAUUGGACAAUGGGCGAAAGCCUGAUCCAGCCAUGCCGCGUGUGUGAAGAAGGUCUUCGGAUUGUAAAGCACUUUAAGUUGGGAGGAAGGGUUGUAGAUUAAUACUCUGCAAUUUUGACGUUACCGACAGAAUAAGCACCGGCUAACUCUGUGCCAGCAGCCGCGGUAAAAC